GAUGAACGCUGGCGGCGUGCUUAACACAUGCAAGUCGAACGGGAAUUCCUUUAUUGUAACUUUGGUUGAUUUAAUUUAAUUCUAGUGGCGGCCGGGUGAGUAACGCGUUGGUAACCUGCCUUAUACAGGGGGAUCACAGUCAGAAAUGGCAGCAAAUACUGCAUCGCGCACAGAGCUGGAUGGCUCCGUGUGUAAAACUCCGGUGGUAUACGACGGACCCGCGUUGGAUUAGCGUGUUGGUGGGGUAAUGCCCCCGCAACGCGACGUACCAUAGCCGGGCUGUGAGAGUGAACGACGACAAUGGGGGUAGGACACGGCCCGGACUCCUACGGGAGGCAGCAGAGGGGAAUAUUGCACAAUGGAGGAAACCCUGAUGCAGCUACGCCGCGUAAAGGAAGAAGUAACUCGGUAUGUAAUCUUCUAUCAGCAGGGAAGAUAGUGACGGUACCUGACAAAGAAGCCCCGGCUAACUACGUG
rnacentral:rRNA from 1 species